UGGAAGGGCAUUUAGUGGAUGCCUUGGCGAUAAGAGGCGAUGAAGGACGUGGUACGCUGCGUUAAGCCAUGGGGAGCUGCGAACAAGCUUUGAUCCAUGGAUAUCCGAAUGGGGAAACCCGGCCCGCAAGGGUCAUCAUUAUCUGAAUACAUAGGGUAAUGAGGCGAACCUGGGGAACUGAAACAUCUAAGUACCCAGAGGAAAGGACAUCAAUUGAGACUUCCUUAGUAGUGGCGAGCGAACGGGAACCAGGCCAGUGUCUCUUCUUGAGUCAGCGGAACGAUCUGGAAAGUUCGGCCAUAGCGGGUGAUAGCCCCGUACGUUAAAGCGAUUGAAGAGACCUCGAGUAGGGCGGGACACGUGAAAUCCUGUCUGAACAUGGGGGGACCAUCCUCCAAGCCUAAGUACUCCUUAUCGACCGAUAGUGAACAAGUACCGUGAGGGAAAGGUGAAAAGCACCCCGACGAGGGGAGUGAAACAGUUCCUGAAACUGGAUGCCUACAAACAGUUGGAGCCCAAGGUUCGUCCUGGGUGACAGCGUACCUUUUGUAUAAUGGGUCAGCGAGUUAAUUUUGCGAGCAAGCUUAAGCCGUUAGGUGUAGGCGUAGCGAAAGCGAGUCUUAAUAGGGCGACUAAGUUUGUUGGAUUAGACCCGAAACCGAGUGAUCUAGGUAUGAGCAGGUUGAAGGUGCAGUAACAUGCACUGGAGGACCGAACCCACGCCUGUUGAAAAAGGCGGGGAUGACUUGUGCCUAGGGGUGAAAGGCCAAUCAAACUCGGAAAUAGCUGGUUCUCCGCGAAAUCUAUUUAGGUAGAGCGUCGGAUGAAUACUCUCGGGGGUAGAGCACUGGAUGGGCUAUGGGGGCUUACCGCCUUACUGAUCCUAACCAAACUCCGAAUACCGAGAAGUACUAUCCGGCAGACACACAGUGGGUGCUAACGUCCAUUGUGGAGAGGGAAACAACCCUGACCGCCAGUUAAGGUCCCUAAGUUAUGGCUAAGUGGGAAAGGAUGUAGGAAGGCCAAGACAACCAGGAGGUUGGCUUAGAAGCAGCCACCCUUUAAAGAAAGCGUAACAGCUCACUGGUC
rnacentral:rRNA from 1 species